rnacentral:rRNA from 1 species
CCUACGGGAGGCAGCAGUGGGGAAUUUUGGACAAUGGGCGAAAGCCUGAUCCAGCAAUGCCGCGUGUGGGAAGAAGGCCUUCGGGUUGUAAACCACUUUUGUACGGAACGAAACGGCUCGCUUUAAUACAGCGGGCUAAUGACGGUACCGUAAGAAUAAGCACCGGCUAACUACGUGCCAGCAGCCGCGGUAAUACGUAGGGUGCGAGCGUUAAUCGGAAUUACUGGGCGUAAAGCGUGCGCAGGCGGUUAUAUAAGACAGUUGUGAAAUCCCCGGGCUCAACCUGGGAAUUGCAUCUGUGACUGUAUAGCUAGAGUACGGUAGAGGGGGAUGGAAUUCCGCGUGUAGCAGUGAAAUGCGUAGAUAUGCGGAGGAACACCGAUGGCGAAGGCAAUCCCCUGGACCUGUACUGACGCUCAUGCACGAAAGCGUGGGGAGCAAACAGGAUUAGAUACCCUGGUAGUCCACGCCCUAAACGAUGUCAACUGGUUGUUGGGUGCAUUAGUACUCAGUAACGAAGCUAACGCGUGAAGUUGACCGCCUGGGGAGUACGGCCGCAAGGUUGAAACUCAAAGGAUUGACGNNGAGAGNGCGAGACGACGACGAGGAGGAGG